CGUAACUCUUAUCUGAAGCGAGCUGUAAUUUGUAGCUAACAUUUCUAGUGGUCGGAUAAGUAAAUCCUCUCAAGUUCAAAAUGUAAUAGUACUGGAAAGCAACGUGUUUAACCAGAAGCAGCAAGACAAUUCUGAGACAAGCCUUCCAUACUCUAUGUACAAUAGGCAUAGAUCAUUGUCUUGCUGAAUGACCCAACUCAUGGACAGCUUCCUGCUCAUGGACAGAUGGUUUGACAUUUUCCAGUAAAAUGGUUAAUUUAAUAAUGGCAAGGCAUCCAGGUCUUAAUGCAGCAAAGCAUCCCCACACCAUGACACUGCCACCACUAUGUUUUACCUUUGGUAUGAGGUUCUUACUCUGGAAUGCAGUGUUUGGAUAUUGCCAGACAUAACAGGGC
ensembl:lncRNA